GGAGCCGCAGCGAAAGCGAGUCUGAAUAGGGCGUUUAGUACGUGGUCGUAGACCCGAAACCAGGUGAUCUACCCAUGUCCAGGGUGAAGUUCAGGUAACACUGAAUGGAGGCCCGAACCCACGCACGUUGAAAAGUGCGGGGAUGAGGUGUGGGUAGCGGAGAAAUUCCAAUCGAACCUGGAGAUAGCUGGUUCUCCCCGAAAUAGCUUUAGGGCUAGCCUUAAGUGUAAGAGUCUUGGAGGUAGAGCACUGAUUGAACUAGGGGUCCUCAUCGGAUUACCGAAUUCAGUCAAACUCCGAAUGCCAAUGACUUAUCCUUAGGAGUCAGACUGCGAGUGAUAAGAUCCGUAGUCAAGAGGGAAACAGCCCAGAUCGCCAGCUAAGGUCCCAAAGUGUGUAUUAAGUGGAAAAGGAUGUGGAGUUGCUUAGACAACUAGGAUGUUGGCUCAGAAGCAGCCACCAUUUAAAGAGUGCGUAAUAGCUCACUAGUCGAGUGACUCUGCGCCGAAAAUGUA
rnacentral:rRNA from 1 species